GACGAACGCUGGCGGCGUGCUUAACACAUGCAAGUCGAACGGAAAGGCCCUGCUUUUGUGGGGUGCUCGAGUGGCGAACGGGUGAGUAACACGUGAGUAACCUGCCCUUGACUUUGGGAUAACUUCAGGAAACUGGGGCUAAUACCGGAUAGGAGCUCCUGCUGCAUGGUGGGGGUUGGAAAGUUUCGGCGGUUGGGGAUGGACUCGCGGCUUAUCAGCUUGUUGGUGGGGUAGUGGCUUACCAAGGCUUUGACGGGUAGCCGGCCUGAGAGGGUGACCGGCCACAUUGGGACUGAGAUACGGCCCAGAGUCCUACGGGAGGCAGCAGUGGGGAAUAUUGCACAAUGGGCGGAAGCCUGAUGCAGAAACGCCGCGUGCGGGAUGACGGCCUUCGGGUUGUAAACCGCUUUCGCCUGUGACGAAGCGUGAGUGACGGUAAUGGGUAAAGAAGCACCGGCUAACUACGUG
rnacentral:rRNA from 1 species